rnacentral:rRNA from 1 species
ACGCUCGACACCUACGGAGGCAGCAGUGGGGAAUAUUGCACAAUGGGGGAAACCCUGAUGCAGCGACGCCGCGUGAGCGAAGAAGUAUUUCGGUAUGUAAAGCUCUAUCAGCAGGGAAGAAACUGACGGUACCUGACUAAGAAGCACCGGCUAAAUACGUGCCAACAGCCGCGGUAAUCUGAGCGGGCGUGGCAAGGC